rnacentral:sRNA from 1 species
UUCACAACCCAGGAAGCUGAAGUCUUCUGUAUAAGUACAAGUGUGGAAAGUGGCAGUGAAAGUUUCCUUGUAUCAUCCUGUGAAUGAGCCUUAAUCCUGGCCUGUUGGGGACUAUCUGUAUGAGUGAGAGGGGAAGAGUUCAUACUCCACACUCAUUCAAUCCUUAGUCACA